AACCAGCGCAGACUGGCGUGGCCCAGGCAUCUCUGGGCGAGUAUCUCUUUGAGUGCCUCACUCUCAAACAGGACUAGGCCU
rnacentral:pre_miRNA from 1 species